ACUAACGUAGGGCUGGAGAGAUGGCUCAAAGUCAGACUAUGGUAAACCAUUAAUACUGGACUAGGUGGAAAUUUGGUGAACAAGCAGGCACUUUGUGUCUUUAACCAUGAUAGAAGUGUUUCUAGAAUUCUGGCACCAGAAUACCAUUUCUAUCUUUUUAUCCUGUCUUUUUGGUUGCUCGGUGAUGCCUCUGAAGGCAGCGGGCACACCCAUGGGCCAGACAUACACACAGGCAAAACACCCACACACAUCACAGACAAUAGAAAAUAUUCACAAACAGCGACUCUCAAGCUGCUGGGACUAAAGAAAUUGACGGUGGGUUUGCUCCUCCCUUCCAGGGCAACCUCCAGCUGCUGCAGAAUUGCCUUGCCGUUUUAAAUGGAGACACAUAGGCCACACUCCGCCUUCUGUUGAAAAGGGCUGCCUUCAAAUCUCCUUUGUUUUCUUGAUGACUUCCGGCAUCUAAGCUCACUGGGAACCACAGAUCAGCUGGCACGGUGCAUCCGCUCUUCUUCUGAGAGACAGUGGAGUGGCGGGGCUCACCGGCCGAGGGCAGCGUCUGCCACCCCGCACUUGACCUUCCGAGAAGCCCAAAGUUCAACGUCCUCUUUCCUUUAUGUAGCCUGUCUUAACUGUGUUUAUUUCGUGGGUAGCGAUCUUAUGGCUGGCGGCCUUAUUUACCUCUCGAUCUCUUGUCCGGUUUUAACAUUCUCAAGAGUCCACUGUCCACACAAGAUAACGGUUGCCUUUCUGGAUUUCUUUUUUUUUAAGCAUCCUGUGCCCUGCGUUCUUUCAUGUAUCUGUGUAAACAUCUUAAUGAGACUUAAUUUGAAUUAAUGAAACGUAAAGUUUGGGGUCAGUUUUGUGAGCUCUAUCAGUAUGGUCGAUCUCUGAAGAAAAGCAGAUGUGUUCGUAUGUUUGCCUUAAACUUGUGAACUAAACCAAUAUUGUAAAGCGCCCAGCGAGACCAGCGGCGUUUGGACUCCGUGCUCCUUGUAUCGCUCUGGAAUUUGGGGUAGCGAUAAUAAAUCUACUCCAGCAUUAUGCUUUACAGUGCAGGUUUUUUGUUUUCUUCCCCUUCUUUCUUUUGAAAUGGCCAACUGAACCAAGUUCACCGACCGCUUUACUGUAGAGCGACCUGGUCUUCUGGGUGCACGCCACAGAAGCAGCAGCUGGACAGAGGCAGACAUCUGCCUUUUCCGGAAUGCAGGAGCAUCACAGUUCUCUGGACCGGUCCCUAGCUCAGCCAACCGCGUCCCUCCUAGUUACCAUGGCAACCAUGGCAGCAUAUUGACCGGCACAGAGGAAAAGCCUUCCGCUAGAAGGAAGAGCUCUUGAGUUGGUGAGGGAAGUAGAUUCCCCGGGAUGAAAGCUGGUGUGCAGAUGGGAUGCCACGCCCGGGCUCUCUAUGGGGAGUGGACGAGAUCCCCGUUCCCAGCGUAAAAGUCGGUGUUCCUGGUGUUGGCCGAGAGAUCCUUUCUGUCCUUCGUGUCUGUGACCUUCCGUGGUAGAAACACGCCCACACGGUGUCCACCAGUGGGUGAGUGAUGGACCAGGAGCCCUUGCUUCGGGACCGUCCACGCCUCACCAGCUGCCCUUGUGGCCUCAAUCGGGUUUGGGAAAGAUCCUCUUGACUUCUGCCUCAGUCUCUGCUCUAAAGGACAUGUUGACUUACCUCACAGGGGUGUUGUGAGGAUUAAUAAAUGUUGGUACCAUGCUUUGGAA